CUUCCUUUUUCUUUUUUUUUUUCUUUUUUUUUUUUUGUAUGAUCAUACAUUGCAUUUACUUGUUGUAUCUCCUUAGUCUUCUUUAACCUGGAAUCUUUAAUCUCAGCUUUUCUUUUUUAUUUGACUGUGACAUUUUUGAAGACUGCAGCUGAGUUAUGUUGUAGGACAGCCCACAACUGGCGUUUGUCUAAAUUGGUAGAAUUGCCACUGAUGUGAUGUUGUGUCCUCGGUUCAUCAUACCAUCCGGUACAAGACAUCAGUUUGUCCCAUCACUGGCGUAGUUAACUUUGAUCACUUGGUUAAGGUGGUAUCUGCCAUGUUUCAACAUUGUAAAGUUACUAUUUUUUUCUUUGUAAUUAAUAAGCAACAUGUAAGGAUAUAUCUUGAGACUAAGUAAAUAUCCUAUUGUUCAGUCAAA
rnacentral:lncRNA from 1 species